rnacentral:lncRNA from 1 species
GCGGGUUGAAUAAUCAAGAAGAUCCCAAUUCAUUCAAAGCUCUAACUAUCACUGAGCAACACAUGCUUCAAUGACAAUCUGAACUUCGAAUUAAUUUGUAAAACGGAAAUUCUUUAGAAACUUGAAGAUUAGAAACAAUGGGUUAGAAUACUCGCACUUUCGAACAUUGAAAAGAAAGGUAUGAAUACUUGAAACAUAUACCAAAGGAAUGGAUCUGAAUAUUUGCAAUAUAUCCGAGAGAAAGGUUUAGGAUACUUGCAACACAUAUAGAAAAGAAUGGAUCAGAAUAUGCAAUAUAUCCAAAAGCAGGGUGUAGGAUACUUGCCUUAAAUCUGACUCCAGUCUCACAUCUCUAUCUCAUCUUUCAACUUUCACAAUCUAUGCAUCUCGUAAUCUCUAGACCAUCUCUAGCUAUACUCUAUUCGCCACUUCGCUUCGCUUACUCAAUCAUCCCUUAUUCGCUUUGCAAUACCAAUCCGACUUUCUGACGUCUUCCAGCGUACACGUCUCGUCCAAAUCCUUUAUGAGAAUAAGAUAAUACUAUAGUCACUAAACAAUAUAUCGCAUACACAUAUCACGUAUACCGAUACCCACUUAUAUACCCCUUUAAACCUAUCACAUAUCACUUAACACAUAAUCAUGCUUUGACUCUAAUAUAUAGUCAUAUCAUUCUCCACAUAGUAUGUCACAAUUCAAAACUCAUAUAAAUCAUAUCGAUAAUCUGACAGAGUCUCGUCUAUUUAUAAGACUAUCCACCUGUCAACCUAUUCUCAAUCAACAACCAAUCAACCAAUUUCAAUUCCUAUAAACCAUAUGUUCUUAUCCAAUAUCAGUCAAGUCAUGACACUAUGUCAUUCAAAUCAUUUAUCAUGUAUAUAAUAUCAAGAAUAAACAUAUAUAUCACGUAAUCAUCAAUUAAUAGCAAUCAAAUAACAUAUAAUCACAUUUUGCACAUUUAACAAAAAUUAUUCACAUUCUCGACUCCAUCAUAAUAUUAUGUCAUAUCAAACUAGACUUUAUAAGCUUCUGUCUCUCUUUCGUUUCACUUGAUUCCGACUUACGGAUCAAAAGUUAUGAUCAAAACUGUUUUCUAACUCCUCUGUCGGCACAUAACACAUCAAACAGAUAGCAGGCAACACACCACACAUAAGGUUUCCCAUCCCAAUUGAUAUUAAAUCAAGUCUUGGGUUAAAACUGAUUUUUCGGGAAUUUUCUGGAAUUUUUAAACAUUUUUCGGAAUUAAAAUCGAUAAAAGAAUCACUUUUCGGAUAAAUAAUCAAGUCCCAAAUACUUGAAAUUGGACUUGAAAUCAUUCAUAAACAAUAAUAGAGCCUUGAAAAUAAUUUAGAAAAAUAUUUCAAAGCUCGAAACUAUUUUUGGGAUUUUUAAAUCAAAAAGGAAUAAUUAAAUCCAAAUAAUUAAUCAAUUAAAAUCAAUUAAUAAUUAAUUAAAUUAAUUAAUCAAUUAAUAUUUAAAUUAAUUGACCAAUUAAAAUAAUUAAUUACUAAUUAAAAUUAAUUAAUAAACUAAUUUAGAUUUAUUUUUGAAUAAAGAAAUAAUUAAAAACUAUUUUUGAAAUUCAAAUAAUUAAAUAAAAACAAUUUUUGAAAAUUAAAAUCAAAAGGUUUAAAGUGUCAGAUUCAUAAACUUUUAACACAGGGUGAAAAGUGUAACUUUUGAGAAGUUUGAUGGACUGUUUGCGAAAAACGAAAGUGCAGUGCUUGCACUUCAUCAUCUUUACAAGUUGGGUGGCCAAACGGCAAUUUGCCGCCGGCCACCACUAACUUCGCCGGAUACGGCCACAGAGGCCACCACUGCCUCCCAGAAUCUCCAGAAUCACUCUAGAGGCCACCAGGAACCUAUUCGUGCCAUCACUUUAAGCAAACAAUCGGCCAUUUGGCCGUAAAUCCCGCCGAGAAAACUCGACGCCGCCAUGGCUGAGCUUCUCCGACGAACACGACCAGACCUCCUCCACUCGAUUUGAAGCUACCAAUCGAUUCUACACCUCAAAAUACACAUGCUAGUACCUUCCAAUCAUACCCCGAACUACCAGAUUACAAACCCCCAAUUUCCAAUUAAAAAUAUCCAAGAACACUCAAGAACAUUCAAGAACACAACUAAAUAAUCAAACCCACUUUUCUAGGUGUUAUGGAACUCAAAAAUCAACAUAUAAUAUACCAAAACGACGAGAAAAACACGUUCUACAACAUAGAAGCAUCAAAACAAUCAAACAACCAAGUUUGCAAAAAUUCACUAUUUAAAUCUUAAUAAUUCGAAUCUUAAAGCUUCAAUUACUCCCUACCUGUGAAUCUCAGGUUGUUUUUGAUGAUUGAUUAGAGUUCUACUCUUCGAUAUCUUCGAUUUGACUAUUCGCACGCUUGAUUCUGACUCCAAUAACGCCUUCAAAUCUUCGUUUGAUUAUGAAGAACACGAAGAACACCGCUCGGUUUCUCUCGGUAUUCGUGCAGAGAAACUGGUGAAAUGAUUUUACGGGUGAAAAUAAGCUCUAGAAAGGUCUAUUUAUAUUUACAAAUAAUUGGUACCCCUUUGGAUCGUUUAUGACAUGAAAAUACGUAUUUAAUAGCUUUAUAUUAAUAAAGCGGGGUCCAAUCGGUACUGGUUUUCGAGAUAAUCAUCAAAACGGGGCUUUUUAACUCAAUUAUUGGUCUGCGGGUCCCAUUGCAAUUAUUACAAGAUAAGGAUGAAUAUAAUAAUCAAAAUAUCUCGUUUCACGCUUAUCGAGACAAACUGGAUAAUUAUCCACAAUUAAAAUAUCCGAAAAACUCCGCCGGACCGACUCCGGGGAAAACCGUACUCCGGAUCGAAAAAGUCAAAACACGAAAAAUGUCCGGAAUAUUCAAAUUAGGCUAAAGGUGAGUUUUGUUGAAACUUCCGGGAAGAAAAUUUGCUACAUCGUUACGAGUGGACGGUUUUACGGAAGUCAAAUAAUUAAUCAAUAAAUAUAAAUAUACGCAAUUAAAUCCGUAAAUCGAUUAUAAAAUCAUCUAACAUUCCAUAAAUCGAUAUGAAAAUAUCCAAAUAAACUAUAUUUUCUCCUGAGCAUAUAGAAAUUGAAAUCUCUCAAAUACGAACACAUAUGAGCAGUUAACGCAAUAAACCAGAUAAUAUAAAAUUCACAAAAAUUCAUAUAUUAAUCAUAUAAUACUCAUAAUUAACCAUAAUUAAUUAACCAACAAAUCCACCAAUACCACUUACUCACAUCACACAUAUAUUCACAUAAUAAUCAUCUAGAAUUUUCGAAACAAUAUAUGAAAAUCAGUUUUAAAAAUAUAAUCAUUUAUCAAUAACACAAUAACCCGGGGUUUAAUAUAAAAUUUUGAAAACUCCUUAAACUGGAAUAAAAUAUUAAAUCUUAUUCCUUACUUUUUAAGAAAAUCAUUUAUAAUAUUAAUAAAAAUAUUUUUAAAAUCCGGGUUAUUACAAUCUACCCUCCUUAUAGGGAUUCCGUCCUCGGAAUCAGAGAAAGAAGGAGGACGCAUAAUCUGUAAAAUCCAUAUUAAUCCACAUAACAAGUAUAAUCACAUACAACUAUUCACAUAAUCAUAUCAAUAUUCAACUAGAGCCAACAAUAAUAUCUAGACAAAUAGAUUUAUAAUAAUCACAUCUAAAUUUAAUAAUAUGGGAUAUUACAUUCUACCCCCCUUAUAAGGAUUCCGUCCUCGGAAUCCUCCGAAGAAACUAAAACGUACACACUUCGUAAUAUCAUAUCGUCAUCCACCUUUGAUUGAUCUUGGCAUACCUUUAACUUUAAUGGAAAAGGAAAAUCAAACUUUCGCGAUUGCAAAAUUCAUUUCCCAAGAAUCGAUCUUUGGGAAUUUUCGAAUAGAACAAGGUGUUUUCAAAAUAGGUCACAUUGGAAUACAAGAGUGACUGGGAGAUCAAUACGAUCAAAUGAACUUAAUGUUGCGUGUCCAUAUUAGACACUACUAAAGGUUGUUAACCUUCUUGUAAUCACAACACACACAAGUGAUGGCGUCCCAUCCAACUCCUAUCACACAGACAGGUAUACCUUGUGUCCCCUAUAAAUAGGGUUGUUCAUCCCAAUCAAAUUGAAGAAAUGUUAAGGAAUAUCAGAGAAUAUCAAGGAAUGUCAACAAUAUCAAAGAACACUAAGGGAUAUCAAGGAAGAUGAAAGGGUAUCAAGGAAUGUCAAGAAAUGUCAAACAAUAUCAAGGAACAUCACUAUCUCUUCACAACAAACCUUUAUCACACAUCUUUGCUUUCCAACUCAUACCAAUAAUCAAUAUCAAUGUCAUCUUAGAAUUUGAGAAAUUGAAGAUCUCAUUUAUCAAAACUUUUGUAGAAAAGAUAUCAUGAUAAUAUCUCACUGAUGAGAAAACAAUCAAAAGAAUCUUUAGUUGAAGAGAGGUAUUGCCAAGGUCUUCUCAGAUUCCCACUCUACUUCAAUAAAUCAUUGUACGAUAUAUGUCUUCUUUUCAACGUUCUUGAUGAUCAAUCGAUUUGACUCGUAAUAGCCUCGUAAGAUGUCAUCGUAGACGUUAUCGUCCGUAAUAACUCUGGUCCAUGUAGUUUACAUUCUUCUACUUUAUCCCAGUUGCCUUUGAAAUCCAUAGCACAAACACGUAACGUAUCUUCGAUUGUCUGGAUCAUCAACCUGUGGGUUAUGGGCCCACCUUGAUGCCAUUUGAAAUCCCGAUUAGCUCGAAGCGUUGUCGUCGAGGACUAACGUUCUAACUUACUCGUAGACAUCAUCUCUAAUAACUGGACUCAAUUCCACGUACUCUCUAUCAUUCACUUCUCACCUAUCAACCUCUAUCUACCAAUCUCUCCUUCUAAUCCAAUACAACUCAUACUCUACACUUACUCUUCAUAUCUUCACUCAAAACAAUAUACAUCUUCCAAAUAUCUGACAUGGUCAACAUACUAUGAACCAUGCAUUUAUAUCAUCCUCAAAUCAAUACAAUAAUCCAAUUUCAAAUAUGCAGUAUAGUCAGAAUACUCUGAACUCUGCAUUUUCACCAUUCUCAACUCAAUCAUUCACUAUCAAACUCUUCUAUAUAGGUCUAAUACUGACCUUUUCCACAAUUCACCAUCUCAAUUAAUCAACAUACUAGAAAUCAUAUGUCUAAACUUAAGAAUCCUAAUCUCUUUAAAUAUCCACACUUAACUUGAUCAUCUAACUAAACUCUAUGCUUCACUCACAUCUCUAGACUAUUCCUAAAUAGUCCGACCAUACCUCUAUGUGAGGUUACACCACAUUCUUCUCUAGAAAACCUAUAACUAUGAUCUAUAUUCUAAUUUCAAAUACUUAUAACCUGUUGCUCUGAUACCAACUGUGACGGUCCGAGAAUCCGGGGGCCUGGAUUCUGACGUCACCACAUAAAACCCAUUUUUAAACACUUUUGAAAUCCUGUAUUUUUUUUUUUUUUAAAAGAUAAUGAAUCCAAAUAAUUUAAAACUUGAAAACAUUUAAUAAAAGAUUUGAAAGACGUUAAAUAAAAGAUUUAAAAGAGAACAUCUUCACCCCCAAAACAACAGGAUCGCUUCCAGGUUACAGUAUUGAAAUUAGAAUCAACCACUAUUAUUACACAACAUCUCUUACCAAAUCAGAUCAUCUUCGAUAAGAAGAAUCACUGUCAACUAUUCCAGCUAUGACUUACACUUGAAUCCUUAUAGCACAGCUCUAGCUUGCACCAACCUCAUCAACUUUCCUGAACACUCCUCGACCACUGGAUCCUCAACUCUGUCUCCUCGCCUAGCAUUAGCCUUAUUCACAAUCUCAAUCAAUCAUCUCAUCUUUAAGCCUUUCUGAAAUGGUUAGAAAGGAAUAGCAAGGGUGAGCAACAAUGCUCAGCAAGUAAUAAUAAACAAUGAUAGUUCUGAAAUGAUAUAAUAGAAGUUCACGAGUUCAAGAUAUAAGAGGAUUCAACCUGAGUUCAUGAGUUCAUGGUAUUGUAUAGAAUGAUUUACAAUACCUUGCAGCAUUUAAACUGAGAAAUUCAAUCUUUCCAAAGAAUUAUUGAAUUGGACUAUCACAUUUUAAUUAAAACCAAGGUUAGGCAGCUGAUCAGUUCCGCACUAACCCCGAGCAGGCCCCGCCAUGCUCUAUCACUGGAUCCAAGGCACUCAUUGGCCUAACAUGACCACGAAUCUGGUCCACAGGUUUAUAUAAAAACAAUAAUCCAAUUCUCUAAUUCAAUUCAAGAAGCCAAUGUAAAUUAACAGAACAUCAUCAUAAAUAUCAUCAACAACAGAAUAAUUCCAAUUCAAACUUUGAUAAUAAUCUAUUCAUAAAUCAUGAUCCAUCAUUUCAUAAAUCACAGUUCAGGAAAUCCUCAACUAUUCAGUAUCCUCCAUUAUCGGCUAAGCAACUGAAUUUAGCCUGCUAAACCAGCAUGACAAUGGCGGGUUGAAUAAUCAAGAAGAUCCCAAUUCAUUCAAAGCUCUAACUAUCACUGAGCAACACAUGCUUCAAUGACAAUCUGAACUUCGAAUUAAUUUGUAAAACGGAAAUUCUUUAGAAACUUGAAGAUUAGAAAGAAUGGGUCAGAAUACUCGCACUUUCGAACAUUGAAAAGAAAGGUAUGAAUACUUGAAACAUAUACCAAAGGAAUGGAUCAGAAUAUUUGCAAUAUAUCCAAGAGAAAGGUUUAGGAUACUUGCCUUAAAUCUGACUCCAGUCUCACAUCUCAAUCUCAUCUUUCCAC